UUCCGGUUGAUCCUGCCAGAGGCCACCGCUAUUGGAUUUCGAUUAAACCAUGCGAGUCGAGAGGGUUUCGGCCCUCGGCGGACCGCUCAGUAACACGCGGAUAACCUGCCCUCGGGUGGGGGAUAAGCUCGGGAAACUGAGUAUAAUACCCCAUAGACCAUCUAUGCUGGAACGCUUGAUGGUCGAAAGCUCCGGCGCCCAAGGAUGGAUCUGCGGCCUAUCAGGUUGUAGUUGGUGUAACGGACCAACUAGCCUACGACGGGUACGGGCCUUGAGAGAGGUAGCCCGGAGAUGGAUUCUGAGACAUGAAUCCAGGCCCUACGGGGCGCAGCAGGUGCGAAAACUUCGCAAUGUGGGAAACCACGACGAGGGGAAUCCAAGUGCUUGCACAAUGUGUAGGCUGUUUCUAUGCCUAAAAAGCAUGGAGAGUAAGGGCUGGGUAAGACGGGUGCCAGCCGCCGCGGUAAUACCCGCAGCCCGAGUGGUGGUCGUUAUUAUUGGGCCUAAAACGUCCGUAGCCGGCCCGGUAAAUUCGUGGGGAAAUCGGUCAGCUUAACUGACCGAAGUCCGCGGAGACUGCCGGGCUUGGGACUGGGUGAGGUCAGAGGUACUUCAGGGGUAGGGGUAAAAUCCUGUAAUCCUUGAAGGACCACCAGUGGCGAAGGCGUCUGACUAGAACGGAUCCGACGGUAAGGGACGAAGCCCUGGGGCACAAACGGGAUUAGAUACCCCGGUAGUCCAGGGUGUAAACGCUGUGGGCUUGGUGUUGGGAGUCCCACGAGGGCGCCCAGUGCCGG
rnacentral:rRNA from 1 species